CUGGUGUGAGAUGACAUUGCUUCAGAGCAUUAAUUUAGCAGAUGAUGGGUGACUGUGGCUCAGGGGCAGCCAAUGUCUUGUUAUCAGAAGGUCGGUGGUUCGAUUCCCCUCGUCUGCAUGGCAAAGUUUGGGCAAGAUACUGAAUCCCCAAACUGCUCCUGAUGCAAGACUGUGUGCAUGAAUUAAGUCGCUUUGGACAUAGGUGUCUGCUAAAUGUAAAAUUUAAGAUAACUGGAAGAAAAAUCUUGUUCCCAAAGUGGAAAAUAAGCAGUAAUUAAUUGGAACUAACUACAAUUUACUCAAGUCUUUUUGGACUUUCUGAUCUUUUUGUAACAAAAUACUUCUAACAUACUAGUAUCUGGCAUUUUAUGCUGACGCAUUUCAUGAGCAAGUAUUUGUAAUAAGUACGAAAACACUUUUUAAUAUAUGUGUGUAUCUCUGAUUACCAGUUUGUACAUUUUUUGUACAAUUGCCUUAAUCAUUAAUCAGUGACACUAUAAAUCAGAUGGUGUAGUGGGCGGAAGUGAGUGUUGACUGCAGACAAAUAACAGAUGCUGCAUCAGAGAAUUGUAUUUUUAAAUUACAUUAAUUUAUUGGCCAUCAGACUUCAAGAAAAUACUGUAUAAUACUAUAUAAUAUCGGCCUGUUUUAUCUUUGCAGACGUGUUAUGAUGUGUGAGGGGGGGAAAUGUGAAGAAUACAGCAGUAACUCAUUCUGUAUGGAUGUAGAGGAAAUGCUGAACACACAGGAACAGUAAACAGCGUCACUGGUGCCAGAAACACAUGUAAACAAGACGCCUUAAAUCCAACAAACAGAGAAAUGUGGCAUCUUGACGGCGUCUCCAGCCCCACAUUUACAUUUCAGAGCCUCUCGAAAGCUGUGAAAUAAGACCGGCAGAAUUUUGGUCCAAAAAGGAGCAAUCCAGUGAUGAUUUUGUAAUUUACAGUUCAAUAGCAUGUAAGUAGGAGGAAAGGGUCAACACGAGAGACUGGCAGAAAAAUAGUUUGUAAACUUCUUGGGGCGCACCAAGCUUCUUGAAAUGACUCGUUUCACUAUCAGAAUUCGAUCCAUUCAGUCCAAUAACGUUCAGGAAAAGUCCAGAAGACGUUUUGUGAGCUGCACAAUUCGGAAGCUCUGCAGCAGUCGGAAAAGACCCAACUUUUAUCGGCUUCACGGCUUCACCGAGCAGCGCCAGAUAAGAAAGAAUGGGCCUCGGUGUCCAGCGCUGCGUCCAGACUUUUUCCCCUUAUCGGAUCAUCGGUGAGGAGAUCUGGACGAGAUAGCGAUCAAUACAAAUAUCGUACAAUACUGUCGGGAAUUUAAAAUAUAUAUGCUGAUAUAUUGCUGAGCCCUAACAGAAACCAUAUGAAGUGUAAUUAGUUCAGAAAGGUUUUCAGGGUAUAGAUUUUUUUUUCUGAUCUACAUAAAAAUGAAAUCAAGGUGCUCGUAAUUUGAACACUCGGCAGAAAGACAUUAACCUUUCUGAACCUUCCCUUCGUCUUAUCUCGUACUUUUAAUUGGUCGUACAGAAGCUUUACAGUCCUGAAUCCUCACAAAGUUCUGCACUCUUAUGACCUUUAAUUUCCCCAAACAAGCACUUUUUGCUGUUGUUGCUGCUGCUGCACAUCAUCCAGUGUGUAUUGUGUAACUGUCUUAACCAGGAUUAUACCUCUUCUUUUUUUUUUAUUAUUAUUAUUAUUAUUUUUUUUUUUAUAUGCCAUUUGGCUGGCACUUUCAUCCUGAGCUCCUUAUGGACUUGAGAGUGCAUACAUGGCUUGUUUUUUUUUGAUCCGGCGGGAGUCGAGCCUCCAUCUCUGACGCUGUUAACACCGUGUUCUGCAUGUUCGACCCACUCUGGAGAAUACACCCACAACCCCGUCAGUACAGUGCGGUACACAUUACGAAAGAUAGGUCACAGUCUAGAGAUGUUCUGACUUGUUUGUCCUGUUUGUCUCUGGUUCGGUGCAUCCUGCAGUAUUGAAUUACUGCAGAAAACUCUUUCAGUUACAGCACGACUGUGUCUUUGUCUGUGAGAAACAUAACGUACCUGUAAGCUUUGGCACUUUUUCUUGCAUAGUUUCAUCCGUGUUCAUCAUACAGACAAUUUACAGGAGCAGAAACAUUAGGGGUGUCGCGAAAAUUUGUCGAAUUCCAUGUUGCAAAAUUGCAGAAGGAAAUAAAUAUAUUUUCAGCAGGA